CGGGGUGAGUAACGCGUGGAUAACCUGCCUCACACUGGGGGAUAACAGUUAGAAAUGACUGCUAAUACCGCAUAAGCGCGCAGUACCGCAUGGUACAGUGUGAAAAACUCCGGUGGUGUGAGAUGGAUCCGCGUCUGAUUAGCCAGUUGGCGGGGUAACGGCCCACCAAAGCGACGAUCAGUAGCCGACCUGAGAGGGUGACCGGCCACAUUGGGACUGAGACACGGCCCAA
rnacentral:rRNA from 1 species